ensembl:ncRNA asRNA:CR43944 antisense RNA:CR43944
AUUUCAUGCAUUUACAAUUUGUGCGUCAUCAAGUUACAACUAAAGCCGAGAAAGAAUUACGAUAAAUACCGAGAUGAACUGCGAAGGACCAAAGUCAUUGCCAUUGCCAUUGUCAUUGCCUUAUUGAUCUUAGGUCUACUGUACAUGCACUUCAAUCGGCUGGCGCACGUUGGGUGCCCUUGGGAGGAACAUGUGGUUAUAGCGACUAUCUAGUGGAGUGUUUGCUUGUGGGCGCCUUUUCUGGUGGCUCGUCCGCCGUAGAAGAUGUCUGUGCUGCUUCGCUUGCUGAAUCGGAUUCAGUGUGGAUUGAAUGCUCCACUCCGUCGUUAAGGGCGGCUGCCAGCUCGCCGUUGAACUGCAGCAGGCAACCCAGAGCCCCAAAGUAUCCCUCGUGCUCCAGGAAAAGACCCUUCAUUGUGCCAUUGGACCAGAACUCCAUUGCGUACGCCAGCAGCUUCAUGGAAAUGGGGUUAACUCGCAGAAAGUUGCCCACAAAGACGACCUGAAAUGGGUUUGUUGCUCAGUCUACGAGGAUAUGUAUGUAACGAAAAUUGAUACUUACCCUAUCGAUCUUCUCAUUCAGCGCGCACAUCCUUGCUAUGGAGCCGAUAUUAUUCGUUAUGGUGACCAGAGUGGCGUUGGCCAGAUCUUCGCGUGAUACGGAAACCCGUUUGUCGUUGAGAUGCAUCUGGCCAAAGCUAGAAAUGGAAAAUUCGUAACUGGUACAUGGCCCUUCAUUUCUGGCUUUGCUACCUUGACGCCACCAAAUCGCCGGGGAGACCAAAGCGGUUGUAAUCGCCACCAUAAAUGUCCUUAACUAACUUGUCCACCUUCCUAUUGUCACCCUUGGUGGCCAGUUGGAUGGCCUCUUCGAAGGAUGUGCAGCCGGUGAGUAGACAACACAGGCCGAGGAAUGUACCGCCGCCCAAGCUGAACAAUACAUUUCAUUUAGCAUCGUUGCAAUAAUGUGUAAUUUCAUGAAGAGCAGUCUUACCUCGUGCCCGAAAUCCGCUUGUAGUUGUCGGGACCGUAGACCGCCAGGAUGGAGACUCCGGAUCCGACGUUCACCAGAAUAAACGGAAACGGUUGAGAGAAAUUGAACUGCUGCUUUUCGCUUUUUCUACAAAUUGUAUGGUUAGGAUCUACAGACUCCUUGACGCCAGCGCUUGGUCCACUUACAGAAUGUCACGUGCGUUUUCGUAGUAGUAGCACUCCGUGCGAUUAUGCAGAUCGGCGAAGAGAAUGCCUUUGAUGAGCGUGUCCAGCUCGUCGAAUUUAGCCAGCUUCAUGUUGACUUGGUCGCGGAAAUCCUGCUCGAACUUGAAUGCGCCACCGCCGGUGGCACAAACCGUGGUCACCAGCUCGGCCAUGCCCUUCUGCUUGGCAAGCGAUAGGAAGUUGCCCAUGUCCGUGGUCUGGAAGCGAAUGAAAUGCAAGGAGCCGCGUCUUUUGCGUAUCUCGACAUUGUCCAUCUGAAAAACGAUAGGGAUUACAAAAACCGCUUAGGGCGAAUAAAUAUUACCUAUUCUAAGAAU